CGUGGGUAACCUGCCUUAUAGUGGGGGAGUAGCCUUUCGAAAGGAAGAUUAAUACCGCAUAAGAUUGUAGUAUCGCAUGAUAUAGCAAUUAAAGGAGCAAUUCGCUAUAAGAUGGACCCGCGUCGCAUUAGCUAGUUGGUGAGGUAAUGGCUCACCAAGGCGACGAUGCGUAGCCGACCUGAGAGGGUGAUCGGCCACAUUGGGACUGAGACACGGUCCAGACUCCUACGGGAGGCAGCAUG
rnacentral:rRNA from 1 species